UACGAAGGGGACUAGCGUUGUUCGGAAUCACUGGGCGUAAAGCGCACGUAGGCGGAUUUGUAAGUCAGGGGUGAAAUCCCGGGGCUCAACCUCGGAACUGCCUUUGAUACUGGGAGACUUCGAGUCCGGGAGAGGUGAGUGGAACUGCGAGUGUAGAGGUGAAAUUCGUAGAUAUUCGCAAGAACACCAGUGGCGAAGGCGGCUCACUGGCCCGGUACUGACGCUGAGGUGCGAAAGCGUGGGGAGCAAACAGG
rnacentral:rRNA from 1 species